rnacentral:rRNA from 1 species
UUCGCAAUGCCCGAAAGGGUGACGAAGCGACGCCGCGUGGGUGAGGAAGGCCUUCGGGUUGUAAAGCCCUGUCAGGAGUUAAGAAAUGUAGGUGUGCUAAUAUCGCAUUUACUUGACGAAGGCUCCAGAGGAAGUCACGGCUAACUCUGUGCCAGCAGCCGCGGUAAUACAGAGGUGGCAAGCGUUGUUCGGAAUUAUUGGGCGUAAAGAGCACGUAGGUGGGUUUGUAAGUCAGAUGUGAAAGCCUCCUGUUCAACGGGAGAAUUGCAUCUGAAACUACGAAUCUUGAGUGUAGGAGGGGAGAAUGGAACUUCUGGUGGAGCGGUGAAAUGCGUAGAUAUCAGAAGGAACGCCGGCGGCGAAAGCGAUUCUCUGGCCUAUUACUGACACUCAGUGUGCGAAAGCUAGGGGAGCAAACGGGAUUAGAUACCCCGGUAGUCCUAGCCGUAAACGAUGGGCACUAAGUAGAGGGGUUUU